UUUCGCAAUGCCCGAAAGGGUGACGAAGCGACGCCGCGUGAGCGAAGAAGGCCCUAGGGUUGUAAAGCUCUGUCAGGGGUUAUGAAAUAUAGGCCGGCUAAUACCUGGCUUAUUUGACGAAGGCCCCAAAGGAAGCCACGGCUAACUCUGUGCCAGCAGCCGCGGUAAUACAGAGGUGGCAAGCGUUGUUCGGUAUUAUUGGGCGUAAAGAGCACGUAGGUGGUUUUGUAAGUCAGAUGUGAAAGCCUUCUGUUCAACGGGAGAAUUGCAUCUGAAACUGCGAAUCUUGAGUGUAGGAGGGGAGAAUGGAACUUCUGGUGGAGCGGUGAAAUGCGUAGAUAUCAGAAGGAACGCCGGCGGCGAAAGCGAUUCUCUGGCCUAUUACUGACACUGAGUGUGCGAAAGCUAGGGGAGCAAACGGGAUUAGAUACCCCGGUAGUCCUAGCCGUAAACGAUGGGCACUAAGUAGAGGGGUUUUA
rnacentral:rRNA from 1 species